GGGAGGGGGAAAACAAAACAAAGAAAUUUUCUGAGGCUACAGGAUUUGCCGGGAGCGGACAGGAAAAAAAAAAAAUCAAAACCCAUAAAACCCGAUGAUUUCAAUGCUCCACAAUCAACUUCCUGCCAGACAUUUCAGAAACCACAAUCCAAGCAUCCAAGCAGUCUCUCCAUCCAAACUAGCUCAAGUGCAUCUCCCCAGCCACCGCCCACCCCGUUCUGCUUCUGAAUAGCGCCUAUUCCCACUCGGAUCCCCGGGAAUUAUGCAACGGCCGGGCCACGACAGGUAGAAGCGGCGCGCCCGUGGUCCAGCUGCUGCAACCGUGGGCUCGCUCCAGUCACUGUCAAGUCGCGCUCACCCGAAUGCAGUGAACUACAAGAUGCGAGACAUAGGACUUCCCGCCCCUCCGGCUUUGCCCAGACAUCUGCAGUGACCUAUGGGAGGCCGCCAGCCUCGCGACAUUUUCAGAUGAGCUUCCAGCGGAUUCCCUUUAAACGGGCAUCUUCUCACAGUGGUGAGCGCACGGAAGGAGCAUGAGAGCUACGGCCCAGCGAUGCAAGCCGUGGGCAGAGAAGGUGGUGAUGCAUCUGCGGCCUGGUGAAGCACACCGCUUCUCCGCGUGGGCGCCAGACACACUGCUCGACCCGCCUUCAAUUCUCCUGCCAAGCUGCCGGUCACUGUGUGUUCUGUGAGUUGGUGCCCGCGGAGCACAUUCAGCGAGGCAGUUCUCAGGGCUGCUUUCACUCUCCACAUGUUCACUCAGAUCUGCAUGCUUCUUCGGUCCAUCGGCAUCUCAAGGCAUGAUCUAGCGGAUCUUUGUGCUGACAUUAUUUCAGAAAAAUUUGGAAAAUAGGUUUCUAUGAAUCUUUUUUUUAAAUUUUCUUUUUGGGUCACACUCGGCGAUGCACAGGGGUUAUUCCUGGCUCUGUACUCAGGAAUUACUCCUGGCAGUGCUCGGGGGACCAUCUGGGAUGUUGGAAUCGAACCCAGCUGGGCCGAGUGCAAAGCAAACGCCUUUCCCGCUAUGCUAUUGCUCCAGCCCCUGUUUCUAUGAAUCUGAAAAAAAGACAUAGAAAUUUAAUAUUCUCAUCAAAUUUGCCAACUGAACUUCCAAAACUAGCCAAAUAAUUUUGUUCUUCAGAUCAUAGAUUGCUGGUUUAUUUCCUCUUGUGUUCCCACUGGUCCAGUCAGAAUUUUAGAUGGCACUUUCAGACAGUUAAAUCAUUGCGUUGAACAGUGGUAAGUUAAAUUAUGGUAUAUUGUUAUAAUAUAAAAAAUUCUGAAUAAAUAUAUAUUGAAUCAUUUCUAAAGAUAUAGUUCACAUAAUUUGUUUUGAAUUAGAUUUAUUCUCUU